GGCCAAAAAAGAAGUGCUUAUUUAAACACCCCUUCCUCUCUCUCAUAUCAACCCACAGAUUUAGAGAGAGAAACCAAAAAAAAAAAAAACAGAGUUAGUAAGAUAAGAAUAAGAGAUACUACUAUAUACUCCUAGUAAUAAAAUUUUAGGAGGGAAAAAUAAAAUCCUGCAACUACUACUAUUUACUCCUUACUACUAGCAUAACAUAGCCUACUGCCACUCUACCCCCCUUCCCUUCUCUGCCUCAACCAAACAGAGCAUAACUCAGACUGAGAAAUAGAGAGAGAAAAAUAAAAGAAGAGAAGAAAGUAAGAAAGCAAAAACCCAGAAAAACCCAACUUCAAUUUUACUCACUUCAUUGAAUUUUACCCCCAAAAUUUUGACCUAAAUUUUCAGAAUUCAAAAAUUAAAACUUUAUUGAAUUUUUAGAGAGAGAAAGAUGUUUGCAGCUGAAAAUGGUCUCAAAGGAGAUCCAAGGCUUCAAGCCAUUUCUGAAGCCAUCAGGGUUGUUCCUCAUUUUCCUAAACAAGGUAUAAUGUUUCAAGAUAUAACAACAUUAUUAUUGGACCAUAAAGCCUUCAAACAUACUAUUGAUAUAUUUGUUGACAGAUACAGAGACAUGGAUAUCUCUGUUGUUGCUGGGGUUGAAGCUAGAGGAUUUAUGUUUGGUCCACCAAUUGCUUUAGCUAUUGGCGCAAAGUUUGUACCCUUACGUAAACCAAGGAAGUUACCAGGAGAAGUGAUUUCAGAGUCAUAUGAGCUAGAGUAUGGGACUGACUGUCUUGAGAUGCACGUUGGCGCUGUUCAGCCUGGGGAGCGUGCAUUGAUAAUUGAUGAUCUAGUUGCUACAGGCGGAACACUUUGUGCAGCAAUCAGACUUCUUGAACGAGUUGGUGCUGAAGUUGCGGAAUGUGCCUGUGUAAUUGGAUUGCCUGAAGUCAAGGUGAGUCUUAUAUAAGCGAGGACAAGUUCAAGCUUAGAGGCACGCCGCUUUAUGUUCUUGUAGAACCACGCCAACUAGAAGAUUGCCGUUUAAGGUCAAAACUGGACAUGAGGAGAGAUGCUGAUGAUAUUACCUUAUAAAGUUGAAAAUUUGGAAGAAAAAUUUACAAACGAGUGUCUUUGAUCUCCUAAAUAUCACAGUUUCAUGGCGACUCGGAGCUAUUUGAACGCUAUUGAAGGUUGAAGACGGUGAUAACUGUGUUUCUUUCUUGUAUUGAGGACUGUAAACUUACCCGUCACUCUGCUAUCUAGCAAGUUCAGACUCAAAUACCAUGUGUUCCUCCUUAAUUCAACAGAAGAUUGUACCAACUUCAACUUGAAGUGUUUAUGCUCCUAAAUAUGUUUAUUUCUCUUUAAUAGACGGGUUCCAACCCUCGGCUUCCUCCUUGACAAGGUGGUGCUCAGGCCAUGGUUUUGGGUGUCAAAAAUGCUGAUGCUUAGCCUGGAUAUGUUCAUUCAUGUGAUUCAUCUUGUCCCAUGAAUGUAGCUCCAUAAAUAUUCUUCCAUCAUUAUGAAAUUUGACUAUUAGUUCUGAAAA